UACGGGGGGAGCAAGCGUUGUUCGGAUUUACUGGGCGUAAAGGGCGCGUAGGCGGCGUAACAAGUCACUUGUGAAAUCUCCGGGCUUAACUCGGAGCGGUCAAGUGAUACUGUUGUGCUAGAGUGCAGAAGGGGCAACCGGAAUUCUUGGUGUAGCGGUGAAAUGCGUAGAUAUCAAGAGGAACACCUGAGGUGAAGACGGGUUGCUGGGCUGACACUGACGCUGAGGCGCGAAAGCUAGGGUAGCAAACGGG
rnacentral:rRNA from 1 species